UACGUAGGGUGCAAGCGUUGUCCGGAAUUAUUGGGCGUAAAGGAGCGCGUAGGCGGUCCGAUAAGUCGGCUGUGAAAAGUCAUGGGCUCAACCCAUGAAAGCCGGCCGAUACUGUCGGACUAGAGUUCGGAAGAGGCAAGUGGAAUUCCCGGUGUAGCGGUGAAAAUGCGCAGAUAUCGGGAGGAACACCAAAUUGCGAAGGCGAAGGCUUGCCUU
rnacentral:rRNA from 1 species